rnacentral:lncRNA from 1 species
CCCCGAGGGGAACCGUAACCCGAUCCCAUUUGCAUACCCCAUGAACAAGCGCCGGCGCCGUUCAUUUUGGACUUACCGAGCUGCAUGCUACGCAUGGAAGCAGCGAGUUCACUCACCGAGUAAAACGAGCCGCUUGGGGAUAAAGGCGGUGAAUCGGAAGGUGGGGAUAACGGAGGUGAAGCUAAAAUGGAAGUCGGUGAAGAAACUAUGUCGAAACGGUGACGUAUUGGGGACCCAACGUAAUCCAAAUCUCCCGAACUCGACCCGUUUCCUCUCGGACUCUGUUGUGGUAACAACCGGAGCUGUUCUGGUGUGUGAGCGAAAAAACAGACCCUCCUUUUACAACUGGUACCAUCCUUACACGGCUGAGUCCGGUACCGUGCUGGGUGCAGCCAACACUCGAAAACACCAUGAGCGAACUCACACGAAUCGCCUUUUUUGCAGAUUCCUUUACGGAAAUCAGGGCAAGCUGUACCCGAGUAAUGAAACUUCCUCGGGUCUCUCCUCCGGGCUUUCUCCCCGGGGUGAGCGUACGGACACUCAGUCCAGUCAUGUGACCUGCCACGAGCACACCUCCUCACUUUGAACUCAU